rfam:Asian citrus Psyllid, Diaphorina citri - Florida Strain, whole genome shotgun sequence.
GCCUUGAUGGUGUAGUGGUCAAGACGCUCGUCUGUUACACAGGAGAGCGUGGGUUCAAUCCCCACCGAGGUA